UAAAAAAUGGAAAAAAAAUGUAAUUAUUAAAAAUGUUAAAGUUUCUCUAUGUUCCAUUUAAAUUUGUCUCUCUUACUAUCUGUGUGUUGCAGGAAACUGAUGAAAUCCAACCCUCUGAUUUUAGAUAUGAAUAACCACAAUCAGAGAGAGUUUAAUUAACUAGCCCAAUGUGUAUGAGUUAUUGAGUAAAAUAAAAUUGGAACUGUAGUGCUGUAUAUUUCCAGAACUUUGAUACAAUGUAGUAUUUCUACAUCAGUUUUUCUCAAAGAGCCUUAUAGCUUCAUCCCUAAUGCCUUUUUUUUUUUUAAUUUAUUUUUGACAGAAAAUGUUCCCAGGCCAGGGAUUGAACUUGAGCCCCUGCAGUGACAAUACCAGACCCUUAAUCUGCUGAGCCACCAGGGACCUCCACACCAUAUUUUUGAUUAUUAUAGCUUUGUAGUAUAGUUUUAAAUCAGGACAUACAAUAUACUCAUCUUUGUUCUACUUCUAAAGAUUGUUUUGGCUAUCUGGGAUCUUUUGCAUUUCCAAACAAAUUUUAGAAGUAUUUUUUCUUGUUCUGUGAAAAAAAUACUUUGAUAGAGAUUAUAUUGAAUCUGUAGAUUGCUUUGGGUAAUAUGGGUCAUUUAAAUUUAUUUAUUUACUUAUUUAUUUUUACUCUUUAUGGCCACAUCCAUGGCAUAUGGAAGUUCCUAGGCUAGGGGUCAAAUCAGAGCUGCAGCUGCCAGCCUACUCCACAGCCACAGCAACACAGGAUCCAAGCCCCAUCUGUGACCUACGCCACAGCUCAUGGCAACACUGGAUCCAAAACCCACAGACUGGGACCAGGGAUCAAACCCACAUCUUCAUGGAUACUAGUCAGAUUUGUUUUUGCUGUGCCACAAUGGGAACUCCCAAGGGUCAUUUAAACUUUAAUUCUUUCAACUCAUGAGCAUAGUAUCUUUCUAUUUGUUUGUGUCACCUCAUUUCUUUCAUCAGUGUCUCAUAGGUUUCUGACUAUAGGUCUUUUACCUCCUUGGUUACAUUUAUUCCUAGGUGUUUUAUUCUUUUUGCUGUAAUUGUAAAUGGGAUUGUUUUCUUAAGCUUUUCACCACUGAGUAUGCCAGCCUCCACUGAUGGAUGAGUAAGCUCCUGAUGCUAAUAGGCUAGAGGGAGGACUCCAAAAUGGUGCUUGCCAGCACCAGUGUCCUCAUCGCAGAACAAGCUGAAAGAAAUGAUUACUCCCAAGGGGGAGUUCCAGUUGCCUUCUGCCUCUCUAAGAGGCUCUCCAAGAACAGAAAAGUGUGUGUGACCUGAGUUCCUUUCAAAUUACUGCCUCUGCACUGGGUCUCAGAGCAUGUAAGAUUUUGCAUGUGCCCUUUAAGGGUGGAGUCUCAGUUUUCCAUAGCUGCCUGGCUUUCCCAUAUGCUAGCCCUACAGAUCUUCAAAGCCAGAUGUUCUGGGGACUGUUCUUCCUGGUUCAGGACCCUCUGAGCUCAUUUCACUUGCUCCCUGGGGAGAAUCUCUGCAAUUGUGAUUAUCCUUUCUUUGGUGGUUCACCUACCCAGCAGUGUGGGUCUUGACUAUACCACAUCUUUGCCCCUCCUACCUAUUUAUUGGGUCUUUUUUAUAUCUUUAAUUGUGGAAAAUAUUUUCUGCCAGUUUUCAGGUCAUUCUCAUCAAUGGUUUCUCUGAAAAUAGUUGUAAUUUUGGUGUUCCCAUGGAGAAAGUAAGCUCAGCAUUUUCCUACUCUGCUCUGCUCUACCAGUCACUCUCCCUAAAACACUGCAUUUCUUGGUCAACUAGGAAGAAUUUCUUGUUUUUAUUCCUACAUCUUAAAAAAUAUUCUAUUUCAAUUUAUAAUUUAUUUUCAGUAGGAGUCUCAAGGCACAUUGCCCCCACUCUCAUCAAUCAUAUCUAUUUAAUAUUUUAGGUUAAUUUUGUAUUACAUGUUCAGAAAUCUGAACUUGCAGCUUCUAGAGGGGAGAAUACUUUAAUGAGGAAACAUUUUUCAGUUCCAUUAUAAGCCUACUUUGUACAGAAGUUGGGGAGACAGAGGUCUUCUUGGUAAGUGGUUUUAUAAUCUUUACCAGUCAUUAACAUAAAAAAUUUACCCUGUACCUCUUAUAUAUUAGAGGCUGGAAAUAUCUGAUGCAACAAGGAAAACAAAGUUCUUAUGAUAUAUAUUGAGUUGAAAAUAUACUGGGGAAUUUCAAGCCAACAGGCAUAUAAGAAAAGUAACUAACAUUCCUUAGCACUUGUUAAUUUGUUUAGUAUUUAUCAAAAGCAUGGCCAAAGCUAUUUAUUCCUGCCCACAUCUCUGUGAUACAGGUACUAUACUUAUUUUAAGGAAGACCAAUGAUGCUUCGAAGACUUCAAGACUAACUCAGGUCAAUUAUUUAAGAAUUAGGAUCAGAUAUGGAUCUUGAGCCCAGAGUUGCUGGAAUCCAAAUUCCAGCUCUUGAUACUUCCUAGCUUUGUCCCCCUAAAGAUACAGAUGAGGAAACCCAAUAUAGAUUGUCCUGGUUAGAGAAUUUCUGGAGCUGUGUACUGUGGGCAAGUUCAGAAUUUAAUACAUUUUUAAGGUAAACAGCAAGACUAAAGCAAAAUCUAUGUCACCAAAGCAAAAGAAAGGGAGUGGUUGAACCAGAAACAGGGACAGGGGAGAAAUGGGUAAUGCCAGGAAAGAACAGGAGUGUGGGAGAAUAUGUAAAACAGGCUACCCAAGUUCUGAGUCAAAACCAGGCUGGCAUAGAGCAAAGCCAGGUAUGCCAGCCUGGUUGGUAUUUAUCUGACAAAUCUGUUGAUAGGUGUGUUGCGAUAGCUUUUCCACAUUCACAACGCUUUAGAGCAGCAGCCAGGAGACAUCUACUUGACCCUACCCAAUGUAAUUCAUCUCAGUAAAGCCCUGUCCUGAAACACAGGAGGAUUACUCAACCCUCAACAUGACAAUCCUCCUUCCUAUAUUUAGUAGUAUCAGAAAUUUGGGGAAGUCAUGCUUCUCUGUAAGAAAAGGCCUUUCCUUUAUCUUCAUGCCUGAGAUUACCCAUACGAGGCUGCACAUUUUCACACCUUUAAAGGUCCAUCUUCCAGGCCUUUCAGUGUUGGUUCCAACUGCUGUGUCCCACACACCAGUAUGAUGUUAGAUGGAUACAUUUGACUUAGUGAAAUUAACUAGCCCUCUGCAGCACUUCCUUUCAAGGGCAUCAAGGAUAAUAGCAAGAGUUACAGAGAUUGUCAUUAACAGAAAUCGCUCUCAUUUCUAUAACACUUCAUGUUCUAGUCAAAGUGCUUUCAUAGCCGUAAUUGCCUUCCUUUUUAUUGAUUGAGAGGUAAGGAAUGGCUGUGGAUAAAUGAUCAUGUUAGCAUUAGAUACUGGAAGUUCCAGAACCAGCUCCACUUUUACAUUAGCCAUGUGACCCUGGGAAAGGCAUUUAUCAUUGAUUCUAGCAAUUUUCUUUUGGGUGACCCUCAUUCCUGCCUACCCCAUCUGCUGUCAUGAAGACCAAAGAUGUACAUGAAGCAUAUUUGUUUAGCAAAACACUUAAACAUGGGCCCUGAAGUCAAAUUGUCUAGGUUUGGUUCCUAGCUCCAUUAUUAUCUUUAUAUCCAUAGACAAGUUGAUUAAUCACUCUAAUCCAAAUUUUUCUAUCUGUAAAAUAGAGAUAUUUUAGUUAUCCUCCAUUACUGGGUUUUCAUGAGAUAAGGCAUUAAAAGAAUUAACACAAUUCCAGUUACACAGAAAUAAGUUAAUACGUAUUAUUUAUAAAGUGUUAUGUAAAGAUAAUUGCUUAAUAUGUUUAAUCAUGACCAAAAUCCCAUAUGGAAAAAUAGAAAUCUUAAUUUGCAUUGGAAUUAAGUACACCAAAACAUUAGAUGACAUAUGUAAAGACAUAUUUAAUCAUAAGACCUAUUUUCUUAUCCUCUUGAGACUUUGAUAUAUUUGUAUAUUAAUAACAUUAAGAAUAGAAAUCAUCUCUGUCCAUUAUUUUGAAACACUUAAUAUUUGCCAGACAUCAUACUAAGUGCUUUCUGUACAGUAUCUUGUUGGAUUCUUAAAACAGUCCUGAAGACAGACUUCAUGUUUCCUCCAUUUUAUAGACAGAGACUGAAUGUUUGAAAAGUUAAUAACUUCCUAAAAUGGGAGACCCACUUUUUUGGGGGCACUGGGGGGAUAAAUCCAAAGCUGUUUCACUAAUAUAAAGGCCAGUGCUGUUAAUUAACCAUGAUGCUAUACUGCCUCUCACAAUGCAAUAUUCCCAGAAUAAUAGUAUUUGUCAGUCAUUCUCCAUUUAUUCACAGGAUCAAUUAAAUAACCUAAUAUCUUAUCUAAUGAUACCUAUCCAGUGUAGUGGAGGGAGAAGGGGAAGAGGUGUUGAGUGUGUGCAUGGGGGUGGAGACUUAAUAUUUAUUGAGUUCCUACUAUAUGCCAAGUACUGAUGAGGCACAUAUUAUCUCAUUUAAUCCUCACCAUAGUUCAUAAUGAGUGAGAUGUUAGUAUAUCCAUUUUACACACGAAGAAAAUAAAUAACAGAAUUAGCCAUGGUUCCCAAAGCUAGUCAAAGAGCAAAUAACUAGCUGUUUACUCUAAUUCCCAAGAGUACUUUCAUAUGCUCUCAAGACUCUGUUUGAGGUAUGGAUAUAAUAUGUACACAAAGGUAAUAGCAUAUCACAACACACACAGGAAUGGUUAGUCACAAAGUCUUAUGGCAGCUCGAAAAAAUGGAAGAUUACAAAAGGCUGAAGUGCCAGAGCAGACAUCUCAAAGGAGGAACUUAAUGACCUAACUUGUGAGAAGACCUGAAGUGUCUACAAACAGAAGAAAAGGCAGAGAACAUGGAAUCUGUCUGGUUUCCAGUUGAACUUGGAUAGGAGACCAGCUUCCUCAGGGCAUUGGAUCUGGCUACCUCAUUCAUGAUUGAACCCACAAUCACCCAGGCACAGUGAGUAAUCAAUAAAUUGUUGUCGAAUGGUCUGGGAAUGUCAUCUCUGUCCUACGGAAAUUGGAAUACUUUUAAGACAUGUAGUUAAUAUAUAUUUGGCUGACUCAUUCCUCAAAAAUUUCUUAGCAUACAUAGAUAAAGGGGCUACAGACGUGAGGGAGAGGGUACUAAAUGAGAUGUGAGCUUUUGUAGGGGAAGGCUGGCUGGCAGGGCACCAAAAAGCUUCACAGGGAGGCACCUGUUUGAUGACUAUGUUAUAUCAGGCUAGCCAAUCCCAACACAUGACCUUGUCAGUGUCCCAGAAAUGAUUGCACUUACACAUGCUGAGUCACAUAACUGAAACUUACAAGAACCUGAGUGGCACAACCCAAAAUAAGUCUUUAUAAUUUACACUUAAAACUAUAGCUGUCAAAAGAGCUAUAUAGAUUUUUUUUUUGGGGGGGGGGCAAAAUAAUGCAUUAUUUCUCCGUAAUGAAACACAUAGGGCGUCCUAG
ensembl:lncRNA